rnacentral:rRNA from 1 species
CUACGGGACGCAGCAGUGGGGAAUAUUGCACAAUGGGGGAAACCCUGAUGCAGCAACGCCGCGUGGAGGAUGACACAUUUCGGUGCGUAAACUCCUUUUAUAGGUCAAGAUAAUGACGGUAGCCUAUGAAUAAGCGCCGGCUAACUCCGUGCCAGCAGCCGCGGUAAUACGGAGGGCGCAAGCGUUACUCGGAAUCACUGGGCGUAAAGCGCAUGUAGGCGGGUUAAUAAGUCAGAAGUGAAAUCCAAUAGCUCAACUAUUGAACUGCUUUUGAAACUGUUAACCUAGAGUGUGGGAGAGGUAGAUGGAAUUUCUGGUGUAGGGGUAAAAUCCGUAGAGAUCAGAAGGAAUACCGAUUGCGAAGGCGAUCUACUGGAACAUUACUGACGCUGAGAUGCGAAAGCGUGGGGAGCAAACAGGAUUAGAUACCCGUGUAGUC